rnacentral:rRNA from 1 species
UACGUAGGGGGCGAGCGUUGUCCGGAGUUACUGGGCGUAAAGGGCAUGCAGGCGGUCCGACACGUUUUGUGUGACAGCGGGUGGCUUAACUACCCGAGGAUACGAAAGACGGUUGGACUUGAGGACUCGAGAGGGACACGGAAUUCCGGGUGGAGUGGUGAAAGUGCGUAGAGAUCCGGAGGAACACCGGUGGCGAAGGCGGCAUCCUGGACCAACACUGACGCUGAGUGAGCGAAAGCCAGGGAGCAAACGGG